UUGUCAGCACUUUUGCAAUAUAGGGGAUCAGCGGCAGGUUGAGGAUCAGCAAGAUCACAUUGCCAACAUACAUCGAAAUAAUCACCGACCAGAAAAUUUCCGGCUGAUCCACCAUCAAGCGUGGCCC
rnacentral:ncRNA from 1 species